UAAAGAUGUCGGGGGAGUCUCGCCACAGAGACUGAGAGGCUGAUAGCGCAACCGCGCGGUUCAGCGACCCUUUGAACCUGACCCAGUUGAUACUGGCGUAGGAAGACUGAGGGCGCCAGAC
rnacentral:ncRNA from 2 species